rnacentral:rRNA from 1 species
AGGAGAAAGCUUGCUUUCUUGCUGACGAGUGGCGGACGGGUGAGUAAUGCUUGGGAAUCUGGCUUAUGGAGGGGGAUAACGACGGGAAACUGUCGCUAAUACCGCGUAUUAUCGGAAGAUGAAAGUGCGGGACUGAGAGGCCGCAUGCCAUAGGAUGAGCCCAAGUGGGAUUAGGUAGUUGGUGGGGUAAAGGCCUGCCAAGCCAGCGAUCUCUAGCUGGUCUGAGAGGAUGACCAGCCACACUGGAACUGAGACACGGUCCAGACUCCUACGGGAGGCAGCAGUGGGGAAUAUUGCGCAAUGGGGGGAACCCUGACGCAGCCAUGCCGCGUGAAUGAAGAAGGCCUUCGGGUUGUAAAGUUCUUUCGGUAUUGAGGAAGGUUGAUGUGUUAAUAGCACAUCAAAUUGACGUUAAAUACAGAAGAAGCACCGGCUAACUCCGUGCCAGCAGCCGCGGUAAUACGGAGGGUGCGAGCGUUAAUCGGAAUAACUGGGCGUAAAGGGCACGCAGGCGGUUAUUUAAGUGAGGUGUGAAAGCCCCGGGCUUAACCUGGGAAUUGCAUUUCAGACUGGGUAACUAGAGUACUUUAGGGAGGGGUAGAAUUCCACGUGUAGCGGUGAAAUGCGUAGAGAUGUGGAGGAAUACCGAAGGCGAAGGCAGCCCCUUGGGAAUGUACUGACGCUCAUGUGCGAAAGCGUGGGGAGCAAACAGGAUUAGAUACCCUGGUAGUCCACGCUGUAAACGCUGUCGAUUUGGGGGUUGGGGUUUAACUCUGGCGCCCGUAGCUAACGUGAUAA